rnacentral:rRNA from 1 species
GACGAAGGAUGCAAGCGUUAUCCGGAUUCAUUGGGUUUAAAGGGUGCGUAGGCGGCCGGUAAGUCAGUGGUGAAAGCCUGUUGCUUAACAACAGAACUGCCAUUGAUACUGCUGGGCUUGAGUACAGAUGCUGUGGGCGGAAUAUGACAUGUAGUGGUGAAAUACAUAGAGAUGUCAUAGAACACCGAUUGCGAAGGCAGCUCACAAAACUGUAACUGACGCUGAGGCACGAAAGUGCGGGGAUCAAACAGG